AGGGCACCACCAGGAGUGGAGCCUGCGGCUUAAUUUGACUCAACACGGGGAAACUCACCCGGCCCGGACACCGGAAGGAUUGACAGAUUGAUAGCUCUUUCUUGAUUCGGUGGAUGGUGGUGCAUGGCCGUUCUUAGUUGGUGGAGCGAUCUGUCUGGUUAAUUCCGAUAACGAACGAGACUCUAGCCUAUUAAAUAGAUGUCGGGUUCUCUGCACUCGACGGUCUUCUUAGAGGGACAAGGUGCUUUUAGCACCGCGAAACAGAGCAAUAACAGGUCUGUGAUGCCCUUAGAUGUCCGGGGCCGCACGCGCGCUACACUGAAGGAAGCAGCGUGUAACAACCUUGUUCUAACGAACUGGGUAACCCGUGGAACUUCCUUCAUGAUUGGGAUAGGGGUUUGCAAUUGUGCCCCUUGAACGAGGAAUUCCCAGUAAACACUAGUCAUCAGCUAGUGCUGAUUACGUCCCUGCCCUUUGUACACACCGCCCGUCGCUACUACCGAUUGAAUGGUUUAGUGA
rnacentral:rRNA from 1 species